UCGAGAAUUUUUCACAAUGGGCGAAAGCCUGAUGGAGCGACGCCGCGUGGGGGAUGAAUGGCUUCGGCCCGUAAACCCCUGUCAUUCGCGAGCAAACGUUGUUAUUUAAAAGAUGAUAGCCUGAUAGUAGCGAAAGAGGAAGGGACGGCUAACUCUGUGCCAGCAGCCGCGGUAAUACAGAGGUCCCAAGCGUUGUUCGGAUUUACUGGGCGUAAAGGGUGCGUAGGUGGUGGGGUAAGUCGGAUGUGAAAUCUCCGAGCUCAACUCGGAAAGUGCAUUGGAAACUACCAUGCGAGAGGGUUGGAGGGGGGACUGGAAUACUUGGUGGAGCAGUGAAAUGCGUAGAUAUCAAGUGGAACACCAGUGGCGAAGGCGAGUCCCUGGACAACUCCUGACACUGAGGCACGAAAGCUAGGGGAGCAAACAG
rnacentral:rRNA from 1 species